rnacentral:rRNA from 1 species
GACGAACGCUGGCGGCGUGCUUAAUACAUGCAAGUCGAACGGAAAGGCCCUGCUUUUGUGGGGUGCUCGAGUGGCGAACGGGUGUGUAAAACGUGAGUAAACUGCCCUUGACUUUGGGAUAACUUCAGGAAACUGGGGCUAAUACCGGAUAGGAGAUACUGCUGCAUGGUGGGGGUUGGAAAGUUUCGGCGGUUGGGGAUGGACUCGCGGCUUAUCAGCUUGUUGGUGGGGUAGUGGCUUACCAAGGCUUUGACGGGUAGCCGGCCUGAGAGGGUGAACGGCCACAUUGGGACUGAGAUACGGCCCAGACGCCUACGGUAGGCAGCAGUCGGGAAUAUUACACAAUGGGCGGAAGCCUGAGGCAGCAACGCCGCGUGCGUGAUGACGUCCUUCUGGUUGUAAACCGCUUUCGCCUGUGACGAAGCGUGAUUGACGGUAAUGGGUAAAGAAGCACCGGCUAACUACGUG